rnacentral:pre_miRNA from 1 species
CAACUACUCCCUCUGUCCCAAAUUUCUUGUCUUAGAUUUGUCUAGAUAGGGAUGUAUCUAAUACUAAAAUGUGACUUGAUACAUCCGUAUCUAGACAAAUCUAAGACAAGAAUUUUGGGACGGAGGGAGUACUUU